GACGAACGCUGGCGGCGCGCUUAACACAUGCAAGUCGAACGGAAAGGCCUGCUUUCCCUUGUGGAUUGCGGGUACUCGAGUGGCGAACGGGUGAGUAACACGUGAGUGAUCUGCCCCCAACUUGGGUAUAAGCCUGGGAAACUGGGUCUAAUUCCCGAUAGGACUGCAGGGUGGUGCCUGUGGUGGAAAACGAUUUUCUAGUGGUUGGGGAUGAGCUCGCGGCCUAUCAGCUUGUUGGUGGGGUAAUGGCCUACCAAGGCGGCGACGGGUAGCCGGCCUGAGAGGGUGGACGGCCACAUUGGGACUGGGACACGGCCCAGACUCGUACGAGAGGCAGCAGUGGGGAAUAUUGCACAAUGGGCGGAAGCCUGAUGCAGCGACGCCGCGUGGGGGAUGACGGCCUUCGGGUUGUAAACUCCUUUCAACCGCGAGGAAGCCACCUGGUUGGAAGGGUGGUGACGGUAGUGGUAGAAGAAGCACCGGCUAACUACGUG
rnacentral:rRNA from 1 species